rnacentral:misc_RNA from 1 species
GAUGAAGAACGUAGCGAAAUGCGAUAAGUAAUGUGAAUUGCAGAAUUCAGUGAAUCAUCGAAUCUUUGAACGCACAUUGCGCCCGCCAGCAUUCUGGCGGGCAUGCCUGUUCGAGCGUCAUUUCAACCCUCGGGCCCCCCCGGGGGCCUCGGUGUUGGGGGACGGCACACCAGCCGCCCCCGAAAUGCAGUGGCGACCCCGCCGCAGCCUCCCCUGCGUAGUAGCACACACCUCGCACCGGAGCGCGGAGGCGGUCACGCCGUAAAACGCCCAACUUUCUUAGAGUUGACCUCGGAUCAGGUAGGAAUACCCGCUGAACUUAAGCAUAUCAAUAAGCGGAGGA